CAGUAGCCACGGUAAUACGGAGGGGGCUAGCGUUGUUCGGAAUUACUGGGCGUAAAGCGCACGUAGGCGGCUUGGUAAGUUAGAGGUGAAAGCCUGGAGCUCAACUCCAGAAUUGCCUUUAAGACUGCCGAGCUAGCAGGUGAGAGAGGUAAGUGGAAUUCCGAGUGUAGAGGUGAAAUUCGUAGAUAUUCGGAAGAACACCAGUGGCGAAGGCGGCUUACUGGCUCAUACUGGACGCUGAGGUGCGAAAGCGUGGGGAGCAAACAGGAUUAGAGACCCCAGUAGUCCCUGUCUCUUAUAC
rnacentral:rRNA from 1 species